rnacentral:lncRNA from 1 species
GGAUUCGAUGUGAUAAACUCUUUUUGAGAUGUGUUUAAGAGGGCAUGAAGAGUCCCCACCUAAUGUAUUAAGGUGCGUUGGGACACCAUUCUAGGCUAACUACGAACCUACUUUGUUAUUUUGUCUUAGUUCACCAGAAAUUUGGGUAAGGGUUCAAAUAACCUCGAAAGGAAGGUGUUAGGCACCUUUUGAGGUCCAUAAAGGUAGUUCCUGAUCGAAUUUGUACUUUACACAGGGAUUCUACGUGAUCAAAUAGAGGUCGCUUAUUUUAUUAUUAACUUAAUGUUAACUAAGUGCGAAAACAUGAAUAAACAAAACAUGUAAUUUAAUUCUUUUAACUAUCAAUUACCUAUGUGAUAAAAUCAAUCAAAUAUAGAAAUAAGACAAGCGAGGAGAGAAGCGACAUAAUUUAUAACAAAAGGGACUGCUUAUUAAACUAACUACCCCAAAUAAAUAAACAUAUAAAGUAAAUGUAAGAAAAAGAAAAAAAUUCAAAAAAUCAAACAAAGGAUUAUUUUGGUUUCAUUCGGAUCCGAACUCCAACUUGUUAAUCAUUAUCCGAUUCAUUAGCUAGUAGUCGAAUUCUUAGACAAGUGACAAUGUCAUACGUCAUGUAAUAUAUGUUGGGUAUCAUCACUUCUGAAUGACUGCCCAUUCACCCCCCACCUAGGCUGGUUGUCAAACCUAAAAGUGUUCUAAAAAGAAAGGAUAAAACUAAUGCCUCUAGAAUGCCUAUUGUCCCAACCUAUCAUCCAAGAGGCAUUGAACUUUACUAUUUUGAAUUUGUGGGCAAAACAAAUAAAGCUAGAUUUCCUAGUUGGACUCAAAGCGUUUAAACAUAUCGGACAAGAAGUAGCACAUAAUGAUCUCAAUUAAGCCUCUUGAUUGAUUAAGAAGUUGUUAAGGUGAUUAAUAUGCUUAGACUAACAAAUUGCUAAUUUAUUGCUUAGUUAAACCAUAAACAUGAAAUCUAAGUGUCAUGCCAUUGUUUAUUGACGAGGAGUAAUUGUCAAAACAUUUAGAACAACAUUGUAAAUUUGUUAAGAAUAAAAGGCAUGUCAAAGUAAAGAAAAUAUGAUAGAAAGUUAUGCUCAUUAAUUUUAUUAUACGAAAACAUGUUGGAAAUUAGAUUAGACUGCUAGAAAUUUAGUUAAUAUCCUGAAAAUCAUGUUUCAGGUGCUGAAAGUUGAUUUCAUAUUGAUGGAAAUUACUAUCGUUAAUUUUUAAUGCUGAAAAGUGAUUUUAGUAAGCAAAAAAUCUCAUUGUAUAUACAGGAAAAUAAUUUUAGAGGCUAAGAACUAUUUUAAAAUAUGCUGAAAAUUAAUUUUUAAUGUUGAAAAGUGAAUUGUAUUGCUGAAAAUUAUUAAAACAUACUAACACUUCAUUUUUAACUUGCAAAACGAAUGAUUUCAUGCUACCGAAAAAUUAAAACAAAACAUGUCGGAAACAAAUUGCUUUCUAAGAAAAAUUGUUUUACAUCGAGAAUUAUAUUACGAAAAACGGCGGUACAUAAGAUACUGAAAUCAGUGACUAUGUCGAAAACUAAGUAAAACAUAUCGCAAUUAAUUUAAACCACAAGUUAAUUGAUUACCCUUUAAAGCGUGCUUUCUAUGUUACCACUACGUUUAUUGUAGGUUCUAGAUUAUUCUUUUGCCUAGGUGAUUCACGUAGCACAUAGAGCACAUAAAUCCCCACCCCCAAGCAGUCCCAAAAUUUAUUAUUACAUGAUAAGAGGUUUACAAAAGUUGUUACAAUACAAUAAAUUAAUAAGAAAUGAAUAAAUGAAUAAAUAAAAGGGAAUGAACUACCCUAUUUUCCCAUAAACUACCAGCGACUCUUUGAAUCCCUCCGCAUCCCUAAUUAUACCUGUUUGGCAUGAAUAAAGUAGCACAAAGGAAAAAGAGCGAAUACCCCUUACGUUGCUUCGAAAACACAGAAACAAGGAAAGCAAGGCAUAACAAAUGAAGUACAAAUAACAGAGAUCCUAAAGGCGUGUUUUGUAGCAUCACUAUAUAAGGUAUUAAAAUUGCAAUGAAAGGAACUUAUCGGUUGACGAUAAUAAGCAAUAAUAAGAAAACCAAACUGAAUUACCACAGAUAAAUGAAGAUCAAUUCUCCAAAAAUGAGUGCGAUUCAAGAAUAAUAAAGUAAUUUCCUCUAGUUUUAAGAGCAACGCUUAAAGCUUUUUCAUAUGAAAAAUAUAGUGUUUAAAGAGUACAGAGAAUGUUUGCAAUGUUUUAAAGCGUGCCUAAGGAAAUAAGAAGAGAUUGUUUAUAUAAAAUAAAAAGGGGGAAUGGAGGAUCUGAAUAGAAAAAGGAAAGAAAAUAUUUUAACCCCUCAGUCAAGGAAAAAUCUUCCUUAAAUCCAUGGCUGAUUCAAUUAGGUCAGCAAAUCAUGCAAAUUCCAAAAAAUAAGGAAAACGAGGAUUGGGGCAAUCAAUCAAAACUCCCUUAAUUAGCACCGAAUCAAGAGAUACAAUAAUAAUCUAUUCACACAUUUAUAAUGCAUAUUGAACUUCCAUAAAUAAACAAGUGAAAUUAUUAUGACUUAAUACAAUAAAACACUGAUAAUAGAAACGCUCCCAUGUUAAACAUUACGGAUUGCGAUUAUUCAAAAAAUAAACCUCCGACCAUGAUACAAAUCACAAGGAGAUCAAAUCACGGGAAUCAAAUUAGCACUUAAUUGUUAUGAACCAUAUUUUAAAUUCAACUAAAAAUUUUGAUCUUUAUGGCAGAGAUUGCUCCUAAUUCAAGAAAACCAAAAUAAUCCACAAACAAUCAACAAACAGUAGUAAGAUCGGUAAAUAAACAUGAUUAAGUCAUAAUUCAAAAUUGUGUAUUGUCAAUUAAAAGACCGACCAAAAGAAAAUGAGGAUACUCAAACCAGAAACUCAAUCGGGAAGGAAAACCUGAGACGAAUUUUGUAAAUCCGUCAUGCGUUAGUGAUUUCGACAGCAUUUAUCCUAAAAUAAUAGUGGUAGCAACGUGACUUUUCUGUCGGCGAUGAGCGUUGCAUAGUCGGCUGGGACUCACCGGUCAUCAACUCUGGUGAAUACAAGUGAUAAGAGAGAAUAUUGGUAGUGAGAGCCAUAGCAGUGACCGGUGACGACUGGUGUUAUUGCUGUUGCCGCUGUUGGUGGCGUCAGUCGGAACGUGUGGACGAGUUUUCAUCGAGAAUGGGAGAUAGGGCGCCGGCUAUAUGGGGGAGACCUCUUGGUUGAAACAGUGGUUAUUGGGAGCUUCGUUGGCUGAGCGGCGGCCAGUUUUGAUGGAUGGUUGGCCUCCCAUUGAUGGAGUAGUGGGGGUUUACGCCGGCCAUGGUGGAAAAUGGCAUGAGGGAGAAGCCGGCGGCAGUCAAGUGUUGCUGGUCCAUCGGCGGUGGUUGACAUUAUAGAGAGAGAGAGAAGAGAAGGGAGACAGAGCAAAAGGGGAAGGAAAUGCGAAUGUUGGAAAAAUUUUAGGGUUUAGGGUAGUCUGAGGGUGAAAAGGAAAGAAAGAAAGUUUUGGAUCUCAGCCGUUGGAUUAUUUUUUAUCAACAGCUGAGAUCAAAAUGAUCUAAAAAUGUGUUAGAAUUUAAAUUCUAAUUUGAGAUCAAAAAAUUGACAAAAAUUGUCAUUAACUUGAUACAAUAUGGCUAGAA